GGCUGGUCCAUGUGCAGUAGCGUUUACAACUAUUUGAUCACAACCAAUUACAGUUCUUCUCCACUCCCAUUGCUUCACUUGACUGUCCUUAA
ensembl:misc_RNA Y_RNA Y RNA